GCUGAAACAACAGCUACCCAGUAUUAAGCACCGCUGAGGUCCAUCUGUGUUUCUCUCUCUUCCUCUGUGCUACACGCUGAAGAACAGGAACCUAGACGCAGAUCUCAUCAGGUGCUUGUCCCGCUGAGAGACUCCACAGGGCCCUGAACCCACCUCCUAAAUACGCCACCAAUCGUCACUGGAGUAUCACCACCUAGACAGGAGUAAGGAGUGA
rnacentral:lncRNA from 1 species